ensembl:lncRNA
UUCCUUGUUAAAUUAACAAGGAACCUUUAUUACUAUUAAUGCAUGGCGACAAAUAAUUAAGGUUAGUCUGCUCAGGAUGUUUGAGAGGCAGGAGCACCAAACAUUAAACGCAGAAAUGCUCGUUUCACGCCUCAUUUUCAAGAGCAGUUGGAGGAGACCAAAACAGAGCUAAAAUGAGACUUAAUAUUUAGCUAACGUGCAGAAACACAACUCCAGUUUGUGCUAAUGUUGCUAAAACAUUAGCAAAAGAACUCACAGUGAGGAGAUCUGCCUCUCUAUUAAAAUGCAUGUAUGUUGCAAGUUGUAUUUGUUGUAAACAUUGUGCAGCAUGUCUGCAAACUGCAGCUACUCACUCUGACUGAGGACAAUAACAUUUUACGAUUAUAAAUUGACGUGUUUGAUGCGUCAUCACACCCAAAUACGGUUAUGAACGUCAGAAGAAGCAGAUAUUACAGACGUCGGACAGAUAAUGUGAGACAGAACAAUUCUAUUGGCUGCUGGAUUUUCCACACGCAUUAUAAACUUGAGACGGUGAAGAUAAGGGCGCUGAUAGCCUCGUUAUCCUCAAUAAACCAAAGACUUUGACCGAGGAGAGCUUCGUUUGGUUUCCUCACUGCGCUGCAUGACCGGCAGCGCGGCACUGUCCGCACAACAGACACAAGCAGGAGCACACUCGGAUGUGACGGGUUUACUUCUGUUUGUUAAGAGUCAUGGCAGUGGAAUCGAUCAUUUCACCUGAACACCGCGGCCUCCCGUCUGUCCAGCGUCGGCACAGACACGGUGAAGACGGUCAGACAUAUCACAGUGUGAGGAAGAGGAGCUCCAAAGACUGGUACCCUCCAGAGAUGGCCUUUGUGAGGAGCAGGCUGCGGAUGAGGAGGAUGAUAAUGGACAAAAAAGGACGAAGGACGGGACACGGAGAUGUUCUUGACACCUGCCACGAGAGAGGAGGCAACUCGGAGAACAUACAUGUCUUCAAGUUAGCAGCUGAAGAGGUGUUUUGGUCGUCAUCUGACAGGAAGUUGUCAGCGGGACAUCAGCACCUCCCAGACUCGGCUGUCAUCGAUGCUGCCAGUGUGACUGCGAUGCUGUAAAUGUGGAAUAUAAAGCCAUGACAUUAUGUCGACUAUUUAAGACUUUGUAAAUAUGUAUGAUACUUUUUCUACUCCAUAUUUAUUAAAAAGUACUUUACACGUGAUGUAAGGUGAUGGUGUGAUUAUUAACGUAAUCUUACAACAGCAUGAAAAGCAGGAUCAAACACAGAUUAUCUAUUUUUUUUUUUAUCCUAAAACACAGAAAUAUUCAUGUCUGUGAAUUGUGGGUACUUCUGUAUCGUUUGUCACGUGGAAACAGAUCAAAAUCGACCAUUUUCGACUUCUUAUGCUAAGCUAACUCUUUCCUAGCUGGCUUAUUUAACCCUUGACAAGAAAGUGAAUAAGUGCAGCUUGAUUUUAUAUUCCAGAUUUAAUUAACCAGCACAGAUUUAUGCAUCAUAUUUGUGCACAUCCUAAUAAAGUAGAUGGUUACAGAAAAAGCCCCCGAUUAUAAAGUGAGUGUCUUUCGGGGU